rnacentral:rRNA from 1 species
GACGAACGCUGGCGGCGUGCUUAACACAUGCAAGUCGAACGGAAAGGCCCUGCUUUUGUGGGGUGCUCGAGUGGCGAACGGGUGAGUAACACGUGAGUAACCUGCCCUUGACUUUGGGAUAACUUCAGGAAACUGGGGCUAAUACCGGAUAGGAGCUCCUGCUGCAUGGUGGGGGUUGGAAAGUUUCGGCGGUUGGGGAUGGACUCGCGGCUUAUCAGCUUGUUGGUGGGGUAGUGGCUUACCAAGGCUUUGACGGGUAGCCGGCCUGAGAGGGUGACCGGCCACAUUGGGACUGAGAUACGGCCCAGACUCCUACGGGAGGCAGCAGUGGGGAAUAUUGCACAAUGGGCGGAAGCAUGAUGCAGCAACGCCGCGUGCGGGAUGACGGCCUUCGGGUUGUAAACCGCUUUCGCAUGUGACGAAGCGUGAGUGACGGUAAUGGGUAAAGAAGCACCGGCUAACUACGUG